rnacentral:rRNA from 1 species
AUUGAACGCUGGCGGCAGGCCUAACACAUGCAAGUCGAGCGGCAGCGACUUAACUGAACCUUUCGGGGAACGUUAAGGGCGGCGAGCGGCGGACGGGUGAGUAAUGCCUGGGAAUAUGCCCUGAUGUGGGGGAUAACUAUUGGAAACGAUAGCUAAUACCGCAUAAUCUCUUCGGAGCAAAGAGGGGGACCUUCGGGCCUCUCGCGUCAGGAUUAGCCCAGGUGGGAUUAGCUUGUUGGUGAGGUAAUGGCUCACCAAGGCAACGAUCCCUAGCUGGUCUGAGAGGAUGAUCAGCCACACUGGAACUGAGACACGGUCCAGACUCCUACGGGAGGCAGCAGUGGGGAAUAUUGCACAAUGGGGGAAACCCUGAUGCAGCCAUGCCGCGUGUGUGAAGAAAGCCUUCGGGUUGUAAAGCACUUUCAGUAGGGAGGAAGGUAGUGUAGUUAACACCUGCAUUAUUUGACGUUACCUACAGAAGAAGCACCGGCUAACUCCGUGCCAGCAGCCGCGGUAAUACGGAGGGUGCGAGCGUUAAUCGGAAUUACUGGGCGUAAAGCGCAUGCAGGCGGCCUGUUAAGUCAGAUGUGAAAGCCCGGGGCUUAACCUCGGAAUUGCAUUUGAAACUGGCAGGCUAGAGUCUUGUAGAGGGGGGUAGAAUUUCAGGUGUAGCGGUGAAAUGCGUAGAGAUCUGAAGGAAUACCAGUGGCGAAGGCGGCCCCCUGGACAAAGACUGACGCUCAGAUGCGAAAGCGUGGGGAGCAAACAGG